AGCAGCCGCGGUAAUUCCAGCUCCAAUAGCGUAUAUUAAAGUUGUUGCGGUUAAAAAGCUCGUAGUUGAAUUUCGAGAUCAAUUUGUCGGUCGUGCCUCGGUACGUACUGGCAUUAUUGAUUCCUCCCUUCUGAAGAACCGCGAUGUCAUUAAUUUGGUGUCGUGGGGAAUCAGGACUGUUACUUUGAAAAAUUAGAGUGUUUAAAGCAGGCGCACGCUUGAAUACAUUAGCAUGGAAUAAUGAAAUAGGACGUUUGAUUCUAUUUUGUUGGUUUCUAGGAUCGACGUAAUGAUUAAUAGGGAUAGUUGGGGGCAUUAGUAUUCAAUUGUCAGAGGUGAAAUUCUUGGAUUUAUUGAAGACUAACUACUGCGAAAGCAUUUGCCAAGGAUGUUUUCAUUAAUCAAGAACGAAAGUUAGGGGAUCGAAGACGAUCAGAUACCGUCGUAGUC
rnacentral:rRNA from 1 species